UCUCUCUCUAAAUAACGCCGUUAGAAUCGGUCUAUCUCUAUAUGCAUCUCUGUUGCAGCAAUCAACACUUUCAAUUCAGCCCCUCUCUCUCUCUCUCUCUCUCUCUCUCUCUCUCUAUAAAUAACGCCCUCCUUUUCCUUUCAAGUCUAGGGUUUUGAUUCUCCAACUACAACACAAACCUACCCUCUCUUUCUCUCUCUCUCUCUCUCUCUCUCUCUCUCUCUCUCAUCAUCAUCAUUUUCUCUCUCUAGAAAUGACGACUUCAGCUGUGAAGAACAACAACUUGUUGCCUCCGGGUCUGGUCUCGAAUCUCCAGGAGGUGCUUCUCAGCAGAAAAGGCGGCGGAGAGGAUGAACAAUCGAAGAAUGCUAAUAAUGAUGCCGAUGAUGAUGAUGAAUCCACCAAACCACCUUCUUCUACUGAGCCUAAUUUGGAUGAAGAUAAUUCGAAACCUCUUGUUUUGGUCACCAAUGCUGAUGGAAUUGACUCACCUGGCCUUACUUACCUUGUUCAAGCUUUGGUCCGCGAAGCCCUUUACAAUGUUCACGUUUGCGCUCCCCAAUCGGACAAAUCAGUGUCGGGUCAUUCGGUGACGCUUAGAGAAACGGUUACAGUGAGUUCUGCUGAGAUCAAUGGUGCCACAGCUUAUGAAGUUUCUGGGACUCCUGUGGAUUGUGUGUCAUUAGCUUUAUGUGGGGCGCUGUUUUCUUGGUCAAAGCCACUGCUGGUAAUAAGUGGAAUCAACAGGGGUUCCAGUUGCGGUCAUCACAUGUUUUACUCGGGGGUUGUAGCUGGAGCGAGAGAGGCAUUGAUGAGUGGUGUACCAUCCAUGUCGAUUUCACUGAAUUGGAAGAAGGAUGAAAGUCAAGAUACUGAUUUCAAGGAUGCUGUGACUGUCUGUUUACCUUUAAUAAAGGCAGCCAUAAGAGAUAUAGAGAAGGGUAUUUUCCCCCAAAGUUGCUUACUGAAUAUAGAAGUUCCCACAUCCCCUUUGACAAACAAGGGUUUUAAAUUUACUAAACAAAGCCUGUGGAGAUCCAUGCCUAACUGGCAAGCAAUCUCAGCCAACAGGGCUACUGGACGUUUCAUGUCCAAUCAGCAAAGCCUUGGCAUGCAGCUUGCUCAGCUCAGUCGGGAUGCCUCUGCUGCAGGUGCAGCUCGCCGUUUGACUACACAGAGAAAGAAUCUGGAGGUUGUUGAAUCAGUUGGAGUUGCUGGAAAAUCUGAUUCCAAUCGUUCAGUGAAGUAUUUUCGAUUAGAGUUUCUGGACAAGGAGCAAGAAGAUGUGGAUGAGGAUCUCGAUUUCAGAGCACUUGAAAAUGGAUUUCCUAUUGGGCUGUCAUUGGCACGACCCUUGUAUAAUAGGACUGAAUGGAGCAAAGAAUUUCCACUGGAGCCUUUGUGACGGAAGAAUCCUGGAGUCAUCAAUAUCACCUAACCCUAAUUAUCAAAUGAAAUAUUAGAAAUGAGGUUGCAAUUACUUCACACUCAGUUUCACCGCAUAUUGAGUUGAACACUCAAACAGCUGCUUCAGAAUGGAUUUCUGUCGCACUUCAUGUGGAACAAUGACCUACAUUAUUAGGGAACGUGUGUACAUUUGGAGAUGCAGCUUACUGUUUUAAUUAUCAAUUCAACAUGCAUGCUGGUUCUGAAAUUAGUAUAUCUUUUUUUAUUUUUUUACCCUUAUCCUAUUUUUCUCAUAUCAGUUAUUUUAUCUAUUAUUUAUUAUUAUUUUUUUUAAUAUUUUUUUGGUUGUGGAGCAAAUGCUUCCAACGUUAAUUUAUAUGUUCGGCAUGUUGUAAAAUGUAUGUCCCUCUCUUCUACUUCAUUGCUGACAAGAUUGUCUCAGUUUGCUUGUCUGCAUUUUCUCCGCCUCGUCCCUUUUUUUUAAAAAAAAAUUAUCGGGUGAUCUGGGAGGGCUUUUUUGUUUUUGUUUUUGUUUUGUAGUUUGUGACAGUGUAACUGGAAACGGCCAGGUCGGGGUUAUUUGAUCCUGUGCUUGUGUGUUUUUAUUUCUUGGAUUUCUAGUGUAGAAUCUUUUUUAUUCUAAUGAAUUAUGUGUUCUUGGAAGCAAACAUUAAAGAAGUAUGACUGAUGAAUUUGCAUUUA